rnacentral:rRNA from 1 species
ACUCAAAUGAAUAGACGGGGACCCGCACAAGCAGCGGAGCAUGUGGUUUAAUUCGAAGCAACGCGAAAAACCUUACCAAAACUUGACAUCAAGUGCAACUCUCAGAAAUGAGAGCCUCCUUCGGGACACGAAGACAGGUGGUGCAUGGUUGUCGUCAGCUCGUGUCGUGAGAUGUUCGGUUAAGUCCGGCAACGAGCGCAACCCCUAUAAUCAGUUGCCAUCAUUAAGUUGGGAACUCUGGUUAGACUGCCCGUGCAAGCGGGAGGAAGGUGGGGAUGACGUCAAAUCAUCAUGCCCCUUACGUUUUGGGCUACACACGUGCUACAAUGGGCGCUACAAAGAGCAGCAAGCCGGUAACGGUAAGCGAAUCUCAAAAAAGCGUUCUCAGUUCAGAUUGAGGGCUGCAACCCGCCCUCAUGAAGCAGGAGUUGCUAGUAAUCCCGAAUCAGCAUGUCGGGGUGAAUGCGUUCCCGGGUCUUGUACACACCGCCCGU